rnacentral:misc_RNA from 1 species
CCGUGCUUGCCCGCCGCAUUCCGUUUUGCUUCAUGCGGUGUCCGCCCCCACAAUCACCUUCCCCUCCGCGCUCACAGGUGUAUAGGUCUCGCCUCACCCUCAGGCGGCACACCUUNACCACGUCCAACAACUCCACCUCCGCCCCCAACGCCACCCCUCUCACCCCGGACGAUUUCGUUCAGGACGCGCCGGUUGCGACGGCACAGGCGCCGGCCGCGACGCCUGUCGCCGAUCUGAUCGACGGGGUUACCGUGACGCCGCUGGUCGCGCAUGGAGACAACCGCGGCGCGCUGAC